rfam:Omnitrophica WOR_2 bacterium RIFCSPHIGHO2_02_FTLL_52_10 rifcsphigho2_02_scaffold_58432, whole genome shotgun sequence.
AUUUUGGAGAGUUUGAUCCUGGCUCAGAGUGAACGCUGGCGGCGUGGAUUAGGCAUGCAAGUCGAGCGAUUCUUGUUGCCCCGCCUUCCAAGGAUUUCGGUCUGAGGAGGGCGGGGUGACGCGAAUAGCGGCAAACGGGUGAGUAACACGUGAGAAACUUUCCCUAAAGUCGAACACAGCUCCGUGAAAACGGGGGUAAUAUUCGAUGUGGUAUUUUGACCGCAUGGUCGGAAUAUUAAAGGCGGGGACCUUUCGGGGCCUGCCGCUUUAGGAUAGUCUCGCGGCCUAUCAGCUAGUUGGUAGGGUAACGGCCUACCAAGGCGUAUGACGGGUAGCUGGUCUGAGAGGAUGGUCAGUCACACUGGGACUGAGACACUGCCCAGACUCCUACGGGAGGCUGCAGUCGAGAAUCUUUAGCAAUGGACGAAAGUCUGACUACGCGACGCCGCGUGCAGGAUGAAGGGUUUCGGCUCGUAAACUGCUUUUGUUAGGAAAGAACAAGCGUGGGCUAAUAACCCGCGCUUUGACGGUACCUAACGAAUAAGCCACGGCCAAUUCCGUGCCAGCAGCCGCGGUAAUACGGGAGUGGCAAGCGUUACUCGGAAUUAUUGGGUGUAAAGGGUAAGUAGGCGGUUUAUUAAGUGAGGGGUGAAAUCUUCCGACUCAAUCGGAAAAUUGCCUUUCAAACUGAUAGACUUGAGGUUGGGAGGGGGAAACGGAAUUAGCAGUGUAAGGGUGAAAUCUGUAGAUAUUGCUAAGAACACCAGCGGCGAAGGCGGUUUCCUGGUCCAAACCUGACGCUCAAUUACGAAAGCUAGGGGAGCAAACAGAAUUAGAUACUCUGGUAGUCCUAGCUGUAAACGAUGAGCACUAGGUAUCGGUCCUUCGGGGUCGGUGCCACAGCUAACGCAUUAAGUGCUCCACCUGGGGACUACGGCCGCAAGG